rnacentral:rRNA from 1 species
AAACGACUCUCGACAACGGAUAUCUCGGCUCUCGCAUCGAUGAAGAACGUAGCGAAAUGCGAUACUUGGUGUGAAUUGCAGAAUCCCGUGAACCAUCGAGUCUUUGAACGCAAGUUGCGCCCGAAACCAUUAGGUUGAGGGCACGUCUGCCUGGGUGUCACGU